CCUACGGGGGGCAGCAGUGGGGAAUAUUGCACAAUGGGCGCAAGCCUGAUGCAGCCAUGCCGCGUGUGUGAAGAAGGCCUUCGGGUUGUAAAGCACUUUCAGCGGGGAGGAAGGCGGUGAGGUUAAUAACCUCAUCGAUUGACGUUACCCGCAGAAGAAGCACCGGCUAACUCCGUGCCAGCAGCCGCGGUAAUACGGAGGGUGCAAGCGUUAAUCGGAAUUACUGGGCGUAAAGCGCACGCAGGCGGACUGUCAAGUCGGAUGUGAAAUCCCCGGGCUCAACCUGGGAACUGCAUUCGAAACUGGCAGGCUAGAGUCUUGUAGAGGGGGGUAGAAUUCCAGGUGUAGCGGUGAAAUGCGUAGAGAUCUGGAGGAAUACCGGUGGCGAAGGCGGCCCCCUGGACAAAGACUGACGCUCAGGUGCGAAAGCGUGGGGAGCAAACAGGAUUAGAUACCCCAGUAGUC
rnacentral:rRNA from 1 species